CGGGGUGAGUAAUGUCUGGGAAACUGCCUGAUGGAGGGGGGUAACUACUGGAAACGGUAGCUAAUACCGCAUAACGUCGCAAGACCAAAGAGGGGGACCUUAGGGCCUCUUGCCAUCGGAUGUGCCCAGAUGGGAUUAGCUAGUAGGUGGGGUAACGGCUCACCUAGGCGACGAUCCCUAGCUGGUCUGAGAGGAUGACCAGCCACACUGGAACUGAGACACGGUCCAG
rnacentral:rRNA from 1 species